rnacentral:rRNA from 1 species
CUACACACACGCUACAAUGGCCGGUACAAUAGGUUGCUAAGCCGCGAGGUAGAGCCAAUCCUCAAAGCCGGUCUCAGUUCAGAUCGCAGGCUGCAACUCGCCUGCGUGAAGUUGGAGUUGCUAGUAAACGCGCGUCAGCUAUAGUGCGUUGAAUACGUUCCCGGGGAUU